UGCUGCUCUCCUGCUUGCUCACAGCCCUGGUCUGCUUGCUAAUUCGGUUAGCCUCACAGUGUCGUGUUUCCUGGGAUAUAAGGUGGUGGAAAAAUGUUCAUAGGAGUUGCAGGCCACUGACAGAACUUCUGGCACCUAAGCUGAGGCUUACUUGUAUUCAAUGAGAGAAAAGAAAUUCAACUGAUCACACCGAAGAAAAAGAGCAAGGAGGUUCUUUAUAGAAGAAUCAGCUUGAUUAGCUCACUGGUUUUCAUGUGCCUGUUUGUUUGCAUGGAAUGCAUUUGCCACUGAAGCACUGAAUUGUUGAACGUUAUCUAAACACCACUUAAUGUUAGCAUAUUUUCCUGAGUGACAUGAUGAUGAAUUCUGGAGAAAAAAUGUCUCAGUGAAAUUUCAUCAAAUAAAUAAUCUAGUUGUGCCAAGAAAUCCCAUAAUGACCUCAAGACUUAACAGCUGCCAAAUACGCUGCUUAGCAUUAGCCGCUCUUCUUGAGCUUUGACAAGUGGGAUGGGCCAACAGAUGGACUUACAUGAGUAAGGUUUCAAGCAAGCAAAUUCCAUAAGUGACCCAGGUUUAGCAAGAGAAGUUGGUAUGGCUAUCCCAUUCUCAUCUCCAGAGUAACCCAGCACUGGCCAGUUUUUCUGCACCAUGUUCUGUACCAUUUCAUCAGCUGAAUCUCUUGGACAGCGAAAGAAUAUGUUCCUGUGCCCCCUAUAAUGUGGCCCUGGGCAGCAGAAAGGUUCAUACAUCCCAUAUGGAGCUUUAUGACUGCAGGAGUUUCUACUGGAUUGGCAAUGGAUGCAGUGUUUUGACUGCUCUGGGAGAGAGGUUACUUUUCCAAUUCCCUCUUCUGGUCAGACGAUUCAGACUGGACGUUAUUGAUAAGCUGAGAUUAAUAUAUUGCUGUAAUGAUGUAUGUGGGCUCACUAUUGAAUAAAGCCAACUUGAGCUUAUUUUACACAGUGGAUAUAAUAAUCAUGAAAAAUAUCUAUUUUUCAAAAAAGAAAGAAUUUUAAAUUAAUACAACCCAGCCAAUGUGCUUGUACAGUCUUCUUAAAGACUUGCCUCUAAAGCAAAAGGUACUUAGCUAAUGAGUUCCAGUAAUGACUCCUGACCUCCCUGGUUUGUUUCGGGGUUUUCUGUUUUGGUUUUGUUUUUAUUUUUUUAACCAUGGAGCUUCAUGUCUUGAAUGGUGCGCUGGUGUUUUCCACAGUGGUUUUGAAAAUUAGGUUAAAUCUUCAGCUGAUUACAUUGCAAAGGUUUUUUUAGAUUUGUUUUUAUCACUGCUGGAGAAUUACCACAAAAAAUUGUAGACAACUUGACAUCUUUGUUUUUUCUUUAUAUACUGUAACACUUGGAAAUAGUAUUGCACAUGGGAAGGGAUUAGAAUAAUAACAAGAACAUAGUGUAAAAAAAUUGGAUGGACAACUUUUACCUUAAAAUUUUGGUGAAUCAGCAUGUAGUGUACAAAUUAUGUUAUUUCCAAAGUAGUUCUUGUUCUGAGCAGUCUGUGUUACCCUUCUCCAGAGGUCUUGUCAUUGGUUUCAAAAGAUGGGAAUCUUAUAUCUGCUCCAGUAUCUCUCUCUCUCUCUCUCUCUGUAUGUGUAUGUAUAUACCUGUAUGUGUUUACCUGCUUUAGUUAAACCUGUACCAUUUUGUUCUCACUAUACUUAAAUCUGCUUCACAGCUUUGCCCAAAGUCAUGUAUGUGUAGACUAGCUGUAGAGUCGUUUCCUCCAUGUGUGUCAGUCAGAAGAUUCCCCCGUACUGAGGAGCUCCCAGCUGAUUUGUGGUUAGCAGAUAUUUGCAAAAUGCACUUAUUUCUUCAACUGUUGUCUGUAAGCCUUUCUUUGUGGGGACAUCAUGAAACCAUAUGAAUUUUGGGGCAAAGACUGCACAAGGGAAGUUGUUGACUAGCUUUCAAGAAAACACGGUGAUACAAUUAAAUGAUAAAAGACUGCAAUUUAAGAAAAGAAGCAUAAAAUUUAUGUAUCGUAUUUGUAGAUAUCACAGCAGAUUGGUUUUGGUCCGUUCUGCAUUCUGAUUCAGUUCAAAUAGAACCCAGAAGACUGGUAGACUGGAAAUGCUUAUAAGAAAGCUGGAAAUGGAUAGAAAUAGAGAGUAAUGACUUUAAAGGAUGACGCUA